rnacentral:rRNA from 1 species
UGGGGAAUAUUGCACAAUGGAGGGAACUCUGAUGCAGCGACGCCGCGUGAGUGAUGAAGGCCUUCGGGUCGUAAAACUCUGUCCUAAGGGACGAUAAUGACGGUACCUUAGGAGGAAGCCCCGGCUAACUACGUGCCAGCAGCCGCGGUAAUACGUAGGGGGCAAGCGUUGUCCGGAAUUAUUGGGCGUAAAGGGUGCGUAGGCGGCCUUUUAAGUCAGAUGUGAAAGGUCACGGCUCAACCGUGGUAAGCAUUUGAAACUGGAAGGCUUGAGUUAAGGAGAGGAAAGUGGAAUUCCUAGUGUAGCGGUGAAAUGCGUAGAUAUUAGGAGGAAUACCAGUGGCGAAGGCGACUUUCUGGCCUUUAACUGACGCUGAGGCACGAAAGCGUGGGGAGCAAACAGGAUUAGAUACCCUGGUAGUCCACGCCGUAAACGAUGAGUGCUAGGUGUUGGAGGUAUACCCUUCAGUGCCGCAGCUAACGCAUUAAGCACUCCGCCUGGGGAGUACGUGCGCAAGCAUGAAACUCAAAGGAAUUGACGGAGACGUCUACU